GAUCGGUCUCCUCCGAGGCAUCGCGUGUCAUUAAAACGUCAACGGGAAGUUAUGGUCGUCCGAAAACACUCGAGGAUGCCCUGCUAUUGGGGGGAUAAGCUGAACCCAUCCCCCAUGAAUCACGCCUGCAUUCGGCCUCAGUCCAUUCGAGUCCGUGACCCAGGACAGACGUCCUGCCCAACCAGCCUUCCCAUUAGGCCUACCACGGCGCUACUGGCGCGCCCAGACCUCAGACAAAGCGGAUGCCAGGUUUCUACAAAGGUCCACUUCCAAUAAUGCAUCCAGAUUCGCUGAGUCCGUGUCCUGUCUUGCCCGCAAGUGCUUCCUUACAGUAACCAAGAUCACAAUGAUCCCUUUCGGAAACCAGCCUUGUUACACAUCUGUUUAUGGCCAGCUUUUCCUUAUUGUGAGAUAGAUUUGGCCCACGUGCAGACAAGUUGCAUUUAC